UACGUAGGGGGCAAGCGUUAUCCGGAUUUACUGGGUGUAAAGGGAGCGUAGACGGCCAUGCAAGUCUGAUGUGAAAACCCGGGGCUCAACCCCGGGACUGCAUUGGAAACUGUGCGGCUCGAGUGCGGGAGAGGUAGGCGGAAUUCCUAGUGUAGCGGUGAAAUGCGUAGAUAUUAGGAGGAACACCAGUGGCGAAGGCGGCUUACUGGACUGUAACUGACGUUGAGGCUCGAAAGCGUGGGGAGCAAACAGG
rnacentral:rRNA from 1 species